rnacentral:rRNA from 1 species
UGGGGAAUAUUGGACAAUGGGCGCAAGCCUGAUCCAGCAAUGCCGCGUGUGUGAAGAAGGCCUUCGGGUUGUAAAGCACUUUUAUCAGGAGCGAAACGCUGUCGGCUAAUACCCGGCGGAACUGACGGUACCUGAGGAAUAAGCACCGGCUAACUUCGUGCCAGCAGCCGCGGUAAUACGAAGGGUGCAAGCGUUAAUCGGAAUUACUGGGCGUAAAGCGUGCGUAGGCGGUUUCUUAAGUCUGCUGUGAAAUCCCCGGGCUCAACCUGGGAAUGGCAGUGGAUACUGGGAGGCUAGAGUGUGUCAGAGGGUGGUGGAAUUCCCGGUGUAGCGGUGAAAUGCGUAGAGAUCGGGAGGAACAUCAGUGGCGAAGGCGGCCACCUGGGACAACACUGGACGCUGAGGCACGAAAGCGUGGGGAGCAAACAGGAUUAGAUACCCUGGUAGUCCACGCCCUAAACGAUGCGAACUGGAUGUUGGUCUCAACUCGGAGAUCAGUGUCGAAGCUAACGCGUUAAGUUCGCCGCCUGGGGAGUACGGUCGCAAGACU